GCGCAUCCUUAAUAAACCCCCCAGCUGCCUUCUGUGGUUUCUGGGACAAGAAAGGGUGCAAGAUUAAUCUUAGAAUCAUCCAAAGCUGAGAGCUGGUGACAGUAGCUCUUGGUUAUUUCACCUCUAAGACAGAG